GAUGAACGCUGGCGGCGUGCCUAAUACAUGCAAGUCGAGCGAACAGAUGAGGAGCUUGCGCCUCGGACGUUAGCGGCGGACGGGUGAGUAACGCGUGGAUAACCUACCUAUAAUACUGGGAUCACUACGGGAAACCGGAGCUAAUACCGGAGAAUAUAUUGAACCGCAUGGUUGGAUAGUGAAAGACGGUUUUGCUGUCACGUAUAGAUGGAUCCGCGCCGCAUUAGCGGGUUGGUAAGGUAACGGCUUACGAAGGCAACGAUGCGUAGGCGACCUGAGGGGGUGAUCGGCGACCUUGGAGGUGGGACACGGCCCAGAGGCCUGCGGGAGGCAGCAGUAGGGAAUGUGCCGCAAUGGGCGAAAGCCUGACAGAGCGACGCCGAGUGAGAGAUGAAGGUCUUCGGAGCGGAAAACUCUGUUAUUAGUGAAGAACAAAUGUGUAAGUAACUAUGCACGUCUUGACGGUAACUGAUCAGAAAGCCACGGCUAACUACGUG
rnacentral:rRNA from 1 species